rnacentral:rRNA from 1 species
GAUGAACGCUGGCGGCGUGCCUAAUACAUGCAAGUCGAGCGAAUGGAUUAAGAGCUUGCUCUUAUGAAGUUAGUGGCGGACGGGUGAGUAACACGUGGGUAACCUGCCCAUAAGACUGGGAUAACUCCGGGAAACCGGGGCUAAUACCGGAUAACAUUUUGAACCGCAUGGUUCGAAAUUGAAAGGCGGCUUCGGCUGUCACUUAUGGAUGGACCCGCGUCGCAUUAGCUAGUUGGUGAGGUAACGGCUCACCAAGGCAACGAUGCGUAGCCGACCUGAGCGGGUGAGCGGCCACACUGGGACGGAGACACGGCCCAGACGCCUACGGGAGGCAGCAGUAGGGAAUCUUCCGCAAUGGACGAAAGUCUGACGGAGCAACGCCGCGUGAGUGAUGAAGGCUUUCGGGUCGUAAAACUCUGUUGUUAGGGAAGAACAAGUGCUAGUUGAAUAAGCUGGCACCUUGACGGUACCUAACCAGAAAGCCACGGCUAACUACGUGCCAGCCGCCGCGGUAA